rnacentral:rRNA from 1 species
GACGAACGCUGGCGGCGUGCUUAACACAUGCAAGUCGAACGGAAAGGCCCUGCUUGCAGGGUACUCGAGUGGCGAACGGGUGAGUAACACGUGGGUGAUCUGCCCUGCACUUCGGGAUAAGCUUGGGAAACUGGGUCUAAUACCGGAUAGGACCGCACUUUAGUGUGUGUGGUGGAAAGUCUUUUCGGUGUAGGAUGAGCUCGCGGCCUAUCAGCUUGUUGGUGGGGUAAUGGCCUACCAAGGCGGCGACGGGUAGCCGGCCUGAGAGGGUGUACGGCCACAUUGGGACUGAGAUACGGCCCAGACUCCUACGGGAGGCAGCAGUGGGGAAUAUUGCACAAUGGGCGCAAGCCUGAUGCAGCGACGCCGCGUGGGGGAUGAAGGCCUUCGGGUUGUAAACUCCUUUCGCUAGGGACGAAGCUUUUUGUGACGGUACCUAGAUAAGAAGCACCGGCUAACUACGU